UCCCUUGUAAAUUUUUCCACACUGGAGCAAAUUGUUACAGCGGUGACAACUGUAAGUUUUCUCAUGAUCCACUUACGGAUGAAACAGCCCCUCUGGUGGAUAAGUUUUACCAAGAUUUCUCCUCCAGAGAUGACGAAGCUUAUGGUGAUGGACAGAGAAUGGGUCCCCCUCGACCAAGUCUCCUAGGAUCACCGCCACGACACAUGACAGAACAGUCUGAACGGGUUAAAAAGAUUCCAUCAAUAUUUGACAUCAAAGUGUAUCCACCAGGCCAAAGUCCAAAGAAACCUCCGCUUAAUGAAGGCCCACCGAAUGUACAUCCACCUCCUCAAAUGUGUGGUCCUCC